rnacentral:sRNA from 1 species
ACUGGGCAUGGUGGCACAUGCCUGUAAUCCCAGUGGCUCUGGAGGUUGAGGCAGGAGGAUCAUGAGUUCAAAAUCAGCCUCAGCAAAAGGAGGCACUAAGCAACUCAGUGAGACCCUGUCUCUA